UCAUUAGUUUUUUAAUUGAAGGCUUGUAUGAAGGGUUGGACAAAGAAGAAGCUGUCUUUAUUUUUAUCUUUGAAUUUUACUUUUAGGUGAAAAGGCUUAAUUGAAUUUAAGGGACGAUAAGACCCUAUAAAUCUUUAUAUUAAUUUAUGUUUUGAAAAUUAGUAUUGUUAGUAAUUGUUUUAUAAAAAUAAGUAGAUAUUUUGUUGGGGCGACGAGAAUAAAAAAUUAACUGUUCUUAAUUGUAAACAAAGUUAUUUGUUAGAAAUUAAUUGAUCCUUUGUAUAGAUACUAAGUUUAAGUUACUUUAGGGAUAACAGCGUUAUUUUUUUUGAGAGUUCUUAUCGAAAAAAAAGUUUGCGACCUCGAUGUUGAAUUAAAAGUUCUUUGUGGUUGUAGUUGCUACAAGAGGGAGUCUGUUCGACUUUUAAAUUUUU
rnacentral:rRNA from 1 species